ACCCACAGCAGGUGGAGGUCCCCAGGCUAGGGGUUGCAUCGGAGCUACAGCUGCCGGCCUGCACCACAGCCACAGCAACGUGGGAUCCAAGCCUUGUCUGCGACUUACACCACAGCUCAUAGCAACGCCGGAUCCCUGACCCACUGAGCAAAGCCAGGGAUCAAACCUGCAACCUCAUGGAUCCUAGUCGGGUUCGUUUCUGCUGUGCCACAACAGAAACUCCUCACAUCAAGAUUUUCUGAAGGAACCUCUGAGGGGCCACCAGGCAGUGGCCAGUGCAAGGGGAGGGGCUGAUGAGGUCCUAGAAAUCAAGGGCAGAGGGAUGGGGAGCUUGGUACCCCGGGGUAGGGGGGGAUGGCAUUCCCUAAGGAGGCCAGGGUGGGCCCUGGAGGAGGGGCCUCUACAACAUCUGCUUUGCUUCUGAGGAAUUGGUUAAAGAGAAAGUAGAGAAAAAAGAGCAAAGCAUUCGUGGCCUGGUUGGGAGACUUGGGGGAAAUCAUUGGGCACCCACACCCAAAAUGGUGCAUUAAGAUGCGAAGUCAAGGGGGUUCCCGUUGUGGCUCAGGGGGUUACGAACCUGACUAGAAUGCAUGAGGAUUGGGUUCCAUCCCUGGCCUUGCUCAGUGGAUUAAGGGUCUGGCAUUGCCAUGAGCUGUGGUGUAGGUCACAGAUGUGGCUCAGAUCAAGUGUGGCCAUGGCUGUGGUGUAGGCUGGCAGCUAUGGCUCCAAUUCAAUCCUUGGCUGGGAACUUCCAUAUGCUGCAGGUGCGGCUCUAAAAAAACAAAAAAACAAAAAAAAAUGUGAUGUUAAAAUGAGAUUUUGGCACAUAAAAUUUUGGCCUUAAUGUGGAGGGUUCUUACACAUCAAAUAAAAAGAAAACAUACCUCAUUGAAAAUGGGCAAAUAGUAUGCAUGAGCUAUUGAUGAAAGAGCUUCAUUUGAUAAAAAAUCAUGUAAAAGCUUAAACUUCAUUUAUAAUCAAAGAAAUAAAAAUUAAAAUCAGAUAUAUGUCUGUCAUAAAACUGGUUACAAUCAUGAAAAAGUAAGAAUAAUCUGCUUACCUCUAGAGCACAACCAAAAAUUGUAAUGAAAUAUUAUGUAUCCAUUAAUUGUGAUGUUACGAAAAGUAUUUACUCACAGGAAAAUGUUUAAACUAUAUUAAGUUUAAAAAGCAGAUUCCAAAACAGUCAGGGAGGCACAUGUUCCCUUCCUCUAAACACGGGCAAGUCCACACAUACGUCACAAAAGUUAUGGAAGUUAUGGAAGACUAAACACCACAAGUCACAAUACUGAGCUAUUCCUCACUGGUGGAGUUACGAUUUUUAUUUUUUCUGGGUGUUUGUCUAUAUAUUUUGUACUUUUCUACAAUGAUCCCACGCUGCUUUUGUAAUGAACAAACAAACAAACAAACCUCUUGGCGACUUUGAAAGAGUCCUCGGCAGAGGAAACAGAAGACUUAAGAAUCACUGCUUUCUUGGAGUUCCUGUCAUGGCGCAGUGGAAAUGAAUCAGACUAGCAUCCACGAGGACGCAGGUUCGAUCCCUGGCCUCGCUCAGUGGAACAUUAAAAUAAAAGCAAGGAGUUCUCAUUGUGGAUCAGCGAGUUAAGGAUCCAGCAUCGUCUCUGUGAGGAUGAGGGUUUGAUCCCUAGCCUCGCUCAGUGGUUUCAGGAUCCAGUGUUGCUGUGGCUGUGGCGUGGGCCACCGCUGCAGCUGCGAUUCAACGCCUGGCUCUGGGAACUUCCAUAUACCGCAGGUAUGGCCAUUGAAUAAGUAAAAUAAAAUAAAACAAAACAAAAUAAACUCCAAAGACACUCGAUGAGAACUCCCUGGUUAGUCCUGGGCUGGGCGGUGGGAAGGAGGAGAAAGUGGCACAGAACGCAGAGGGCCCUGACCCCUUCACCUAGAGUUGUUUACUGAUGUUCUGGCAAAGGGCUUGGGGGCUGAGGUGGGUAGACCAAGAUGCCACAGCUUGUCAUGUAAGGACACUGGGAGAGGCUGGGUGGCAGUGCCGGUUAGAUGGGUCCCCACCCUUCAUGAGAUGGGGGAAGCUGCGGCUUCUGGGCGGGGGUGGCAGGCACGCCAGUGAAUCAGAAGCCCCUCUUGUCCAGAACUGGUGAGCUGGCUCACAGCCCCACGUUGCUCAGCCUACUGAAGAAAGGGAUUAUUGACCCGAUGACAAGCUUUUUCAUGCUGAUCUUGUUCGGAGACUCAUUGUUUGGUUUUAUUUUAAUUUGUUAAUUUAUUUAUUUUUGGUCGCACCUGCAGCCUGCGGAAGUUCCUGAGUCAGGGAUUAAACCCGUGCCAGCAGUGACCUGAGCCAUGGCAGUGACAACACUGGAUCCACAACCCACUGAGCCACCGGGGACCUCCCUGGAGACUCGCUCUUGACUGCCCCUCCCCAAGUCCUCCAAAGAAGACUUUGCCCUUUUAUUUUUUCCUUUUGGUUCCACCUCAGAUGCCGUUCCCUCCGUUGGCCCCCUUUUCUUCUGCAGGAUGAUUUCAAUUAAUGGUCCUCUCCUUCUUCUUCAGUUUCCCUCUCCUUCUGCUCAUGUCCACCUCUCUUUGGUUCUGGGUUCAGCCAGCAUCUUCCUCUGCGCUCUCCCUGUCCCAGGCACCUGCCACUUGGAGCCACCUGAUGCCAGGGUGUCCUGGGCUAUAAAGCAGAGCUUCCCCUCUGGCUUCCUCACUAGUCCCUUCCUCAAUUAUCCAACAAGCCUUUUAAAAUCUUUCCGUACCUGAGUUUAUCUUGUGAUAUUCCUACUCCUGCCCCCCGGCCCUCCCUCCUCCUCCACGGCGCUUCCGGUUUCUCUCUGCCUUGACUGGUGCCAACAUGCCCAGGGCUGAAAGCGCAGCUCCAGCUGGGGUUUCGCCUGGCGAACAGAGACCCAGUGGCCCCCCGCCUCCCAUCAGCCAAGGCUGGCCUUGCGGUCCGGCUCAGCUCCGCUGCCUCAGCUGCCUCCCUCCCCUUCUAGGCUCUUCGAGGCUUUUUGUGUCCAUCCCCGCUAUCCAGCCAAGUGUCAGGAAGGGAUUUUUUCUUCUGUCUCCUUUACUCCUGAGCACCUCACCCCACCAUGUUUUCCUACUCUGAAUCUCGUUUCGAAAUCUCCUGCCCAAGGGGUUUCCCAACGCCUCCCAGCUUUGAAUCAAGCUGCUGUUUACAGCACACCCAGAUCAGGCAGAGAGGCGUCAGCAGGGACCGGAUCUGACACUCUGCCCUGAAGACACUCCUGUGCCCGAGACAGUCACUGGCCUGGUGGCACCUGGACAAACAAAUCUAUUGCCUCCUUAUCUCCCAUGAAACAAGAAACUGAGUAGGCUCCCAGCCUAGAACAAAGACUGGCUGGAAGGCAGAUGCCAGCUCGGCUCUAUUCUUCCCCUGGGGAGACGUGGGGGCUGUAAGCUCGGGUCGGCCCCGCACACAGGCGAUCCUAUCCAAGCAGCCCACACAAGUCCCUGCCUCCAAGUGUCCAGUCCCUCUCAGGGGGCCAUUCCACAGGGAUAUGCAUCUUAGCUCCCCAGCCGUGGGACUUAAAGGGGUGGCUUUCUAGCCACGGGGAUCCCGCGCCACGAGGAGCCUCGAGAAUGAACACAGAGAAGUGGUUCAGUGGUUUUUUUUGAACAAGUGGAAACAGGCUGUUCUCUGCAUACAAAGGUGACCCACCACUGCCUUGGCAACCUGAGAGCUCUCUGUCCCCAGCAAAGAGGCACAGCCUGUAGUCCCAGCCACGGCUCUGCUUAUUCUCCAGAGGAGCUGAAGGAUCAGCUUGGGGUCGAACUGGCAACCUAGUCGCUGCAUCAUGCUCUCACCAACGAGACAGUUCACCUUGAUGUUUAUUUUAAAAAUCUAUUCAGGAGUUCUCUGGUGGCUCAGCGGGUUAAGGAUCCAGUGUUGUCACUGCUGUGGCUGGAGUUACUGCUGUGGCACAGGUUGGAUCCCUGACCCGGGUUCUACAUGCCACAGGUGCAGCUAAAAAACAAAAACAAAAUCUACUCAAAGCCCCGGUUCUGCCUCUAACUGCCAGAGAGCCAGUCCCUUCGUCCAUGUGAGCAGAGCGAAAUACAGAUCAAGCCCACCUCCCCAGGCUCUUGUCACCUGCUCAGCCAGGCGAACACGCUGUGGACUGGAACUAAGCCUUUGGUUCUGCUGCUAUCACUGAGGCGAGAAUACACUGAUGCCACGGCGAGCUCCUGCUUUUGGUACUUGGUGUCACUCUGGCCUCACCUGGCUCAGUGCAAAGCCUUCAACUGACUGGCAGCAGUCACACCUGUGCCCCCUCCCCACCCCUCGCCAAGAGCCAGGGCAGAAGCCCGGCUCUCCCAGAGGGUGGGUAGGUGUCUAGACAGAAGGAUGGCAGAAGUGCCUCGCGCAAAGGGGGCAGGGGAGGAACAGCUCCCUUCCCCUGAGCUCGGCCUGGCUGAGACCUCAGCUCCCAGAAUUAUCAGUUGUUGACCUCACCAACAUUUUCUUAAAAGCCGGAAUUGCUCAGAAAAACAAUUGAACAGCACACACGUGCACACACAAAGAGUCGCUUGACAUCAAGUUGGCACAUUUGGGGGACAGAAACCCAGGGCUAUCCACUCAUGGCUGUGGGGCUUACUGCCUCCUUUUCAAAGCACUGGCCACCGCGCCUUUGUCAAUCCCCAGGGCAGCAGUUGGCCAAUUUUUUUGGCUAAGAACAUCUUUUGGCAACGCAACGAAUGUUCUAUUCCCUUUCGGUUCGUCUAAAUCAUCAUCGCCACUAAACUUCUCCUCCUGUUCAUCCACCAUCUCUCUCAGCCUCUGCUCUGCCUCCCUGUCCUCAGACAACUGCCAGGCUCCUCUCCACCAGGAUUUAAUGAGCUCUCGCUGGACUCUGGGCUCACGUCCGCAACCACCCCCCACCCCUCCAUCUCUAGAAGAGUCCUAUGUCCUUCAGCCUCUCCUGUGGGUGAUUAACUCUCAUGAACCCAGUGGCUUCUCCGGUGGGGACACGGAACUAACAUCCUUCUCAUAAGAAAUCGAACUCCUUUGCCAGCCACGAGGGAAGGUGGUUCAGGAGAAGCUGAACAGCCCCAGACAGCAGAGGCUUGGUGAAGACACCACCCCAGGAGAGCUGGUGUGGAGAAGUCCGCCUGCCUGGCCAGCUGCCCUGCAGCCAUG
ensembl:lncRNA